rnacentral:rRNA from 1 species
GGGAAUAUUGGACAAUGGGCGCAAGCCUGAUCCAGCCAUGCCGCGUGAGUGAUGAAGGCCUUAGGGUUGUAAAGCUCUUUUACCUGGGAAGAUCAUGACGGUACCAGGAGAAUAAGCCCCGGCUAACUUCGUGCCAGCAGCCGCGGUAAUACGAAGGGGGCUAGCGUUGUUCGGAUUUACUGGGCGUAAAGGGCGCGUAGGCGGAUUUUUAAGUCAGGGGUGAAAUCCCAAGGCUCAACCUUGGAACUGCCUUUGAUACUGGGAAUCUUGAGUCCGGGAGAGGUGAGUGGAACUGCGAGUGUAGAGGUGAAAUUCGUAGAUAUUCGCAAGAACACCAGUGGCGAAGGCGGCUCACUGGCCCGGAACUGACGCUGAGGCGCGAAAGCGUGGGGAGCAAA